GACGAACGCUGGCGGCGUGCUUAACACAUGCAAGUCGAACGGUGAAGCGCCUUCCUUUUUGGUGGGUGUGGAUGAGUGGCGAACGGGUGAGUAACACGUGAGUAACCUGCCCCCUUCUUCUGGAUAACCGCAUGAAAGUGUGGCUAAUACGGGAUAUUCUGGGUCUGUCGCAUGAUGGGUCUGGGAAAGAUAUUGUUUCGGUGGGGGAUGGGCUCGCGGCCUAUCAGCUUGUUGGUGGGGUGAUGGCCUACCAAGGCGGUGACGGGUAGCCGGCCUGAGAGGGUGGACGGUCACACUGGGAAUGAGAAACGGCCCAGACUCGUACGGGAGGCAGCAGUGGGGAAUAUUGCACAAUGGGGGCAAGCCUGAUGCAGCGACGCCGCGUGAGGGAUGGAGGCCUUCGGGUUGUGAACCUCUUUCGCCAGUGAAGCAGGCCUGCCUCGUUUGUGGGUGGGUUGACGGUAGCUGGAUAAGAAGCGCCGGCUAACUACGUG
rnacentral:rRNA from 1 species